AUGCCCUCAACCAAAGGUGACAGCUCUUGUGGGGCGGCGGCCCUAAGGACCCUGCCCUUCCCGAGUGCGGGAACCUCCCUCUUUCCCUCGGAGCCUAUUGACGUCACAGCUCUGCCGCUCCAGCCCCGGCUCUGGCAGGAUUCCUGCGGUUUUCCCAAGCCCGCCCCACCUUCCGAAUCAGCCCCUCGUAAGCACGCCGUCCUUGAGUCAUCCUCAGUGGAGCGGGCCGUCAGUUCUCGUUCAGAGCCUGACGACGCGCCGACCGCAUCUUCCCGUCCGCCGUCAGCGACGGCGUCGCGGUCCCUCGGACGAUCCGCUCCGACACACGUCGCUGGCCCUCCCGCCCUGCCCGGCACAGCAGCGCCGGGGUCUGCAGGCCCCGACCGAGGACGCGGCUCCAGGGCUGUCCGAGCCGGCCGCCUGCUCCCUGCCGCGUCCGCGCAGACAGGGGCCCCCCUCUGCUCCGUCGCGGCCGCUGGGACGCGUCCCCAUGGCGACAGGGACGGGGCCGCGCUUCCGGCCAGCAGCAGAGGCGGAAGUCCCGCCCCCCGGCCUCCCGUGAUGCCUUGCGAGGUGCAACGUAGCCGGAAGCUGGUGGCGGCAGGGUGGGCGGCCGGCGCGGCCUCGGUGCGGCUGGCGGCGCGCUCCCCUCCAGACCCCGCCCGGACCCCCGCCUGGCGCCGGCGCGCAGGAUCGAGUCCGCCAGGUAAGCGCCAGCCGGAGCCCCCGACCUGGAAGCGCCCGCACUGCCCCGCAGCCCCCCGGCCGUCCAGGCCCCUCCCGGGCGGACGCCCCCGAGCCCCCGAGGCCAACCCUACCGCGGGCUCUGGACCCUCCGCGGGUCGCGGCACUGCCCCGCCGCCCCCCGGCCGUCCAGGCGCCUCCCUGGCGGACGCCCCCGAGCCCCCGAGGCCGCCCCCACCGCGGGCUCUGGACCCUCCGCGGGUCGCGGCCCUGCCCGGCCCUUCCCUCGGACCCAGGACCUGGGCGCAGCGCCCAGGCGGCCGAUCUGAAGGGCUUCCGCCCCUAGGAGGUGAGGGUCCGUCUGCUCAGAGCCCUGGGCCGGCUCGGCGCUCUCCUCCCCACCCGACAUCGGCGGUGGUGGGUGAAGAGGCCAGGAAGGGACUCGAACGUGUCUUUUCAGUUGACGUGGAUUUGGGUAGAGCCGUGCUUCGUGUCUGCACCGCUAAACAGUUGCAUCACAAACCGCUUCUGGGAAAUAGCUGCUCGUUCGGCGCAGGUCCGAUCGCGCCGCGGCUCUGUCUGCGAUGGCGAAGACGGCAGGAACGCGGCGGGAUGGUAGCUCUUGGCGGGUUGUGCGUCCCCUGGCGACCUUGCCCUGCGAGGGUCAGGAAUGAUCUGUCAGGAGCGAGGGCUGUGCUGGCACACAGCUGCCGGCUGCCUCGGCGGUGUCUGAGACGGAGGUUACUGUUUCUGCCUGUCUCCUGGGUGACAUCCCGUGUCAUCUCACACGUGGAGGAGGUUCCACCGUGA
rnacentral:lncRNA from 1 species